rnacentral:snRNA from 1 species
UGGCUGGCUUCGGCAGCACAUAUACUAAAGUUGGGAUGAUACAGAGAAGAUUAGCAUGGCCCCUGCUCAAGGAUGACACGAAAAUUGUGAAGCAUUCCAUAUUUUU